GUUAAAGAUUUUAUUAUAAAAAAAGAAUGGGAGAAGGCUUGGACUUUGUGUGCUAAGCAUUUCGAAAGUCCAUCUGAAUAUAAGGAAACUGUAGAAAUUAAAAAACGCAUAGAUUUACUAGAAUCUGGGAUUACUCUUUGCACUCAUCUUGGAAAGCUUGACCUUCUUUGGGCUUUACUAAAGGAAAAGCAAAACUUAAAGAAAGAAAAAAUUUUUUGGCCUCGAACGGCAGAUCCUGUAGCUUCUCAACCCGUCCCCGUCUUGAUUCCGCUGGCUAAGCGGGAAGAGGGAGGCUGCGAAGGCUCUUUUAUAAAGCGGAUUCACUUAAGAGGAUCCACGCAGUUGUCCUUCACUCUUGUGCCGUUUCUCCCUUGUCUUGCUACGAAAAUCCUCAACGUCGAUAAUUUUC